CCGUUCGCUUCAAUGUCGGGUUUUAAUUUAAGGCUUCGGCAUUUAUUAUAAACAUUCUUU
rnacentral:tRNA from 1 species